UUUAUCGACGAAAUUACAGAGUAGCCUCCAAUCUGAGCUGUUAUUACCUCCACCCAUUCUCCGCCAUCGCCUCCACCCUAGCUCCACCGUCGCUGGUGGAAGGUAACCCAGAAAUCACCAUAAACUGGCAACCUUCAUCACCUAGGUUCGAAGGUGGGCGUUCGCGCUGCGUUUUAGGGCACAAUUGACGGAAAAAUUUGAGCGUUAAGGUGCAUAGGGGCUGAUGUUGUCUUUGAAGAUCACCUACAGGUAAUGGCGAAAACCAGCUGAGGAAAAGCAACUACUUCUCAAGAUCUUGUCAACUCACCAUUGCGCCGUGUCACUAGGGCACUUGCGCGUGCCACUCCAUCACCGUCGUCUAAGGCUGUUCCGAAUAAAUCUUUUCCCUUGAAAGUGGUUCCCGCCAAGAAAAAUACAAGUACUUGAACUGGGGCGCACGUAUCACCUAUGCUGGACCGAUUACGCUUGAUUACCGUGGAGUGGAAAAAAAACGUGAUGUCAGGUCGCCAUCAACUACAACUCGGUCCACAGUCUGUCGAAGUAUUCUCCAGGAAUCUCAUGCAUUGGAGGAGGAAGAGGUGCACCCUUGUUCUCUUCUCUAUUUAUUAAAGUACGAAUAUUUAAAAUGCUAACUGAAGAUUGUCAUAGUCAAAAGAGGGCAAUAAGAGGAUAAUGAGAAAAUUGGUCCAACUGAAGAUUAGGUUCCAACUAAUUACAAUAUUGAUGACAACGGUGAAACACGUGAAAUAGAGGCCGUGCAACUCCGGGAAAUAUUAGGCAAUGACAUUCGCGAAGAUGAUACAACAAAAGAGGAUGAUGGUCCUCUUUCUAAAAAGAAAACUGGAAGAGGUGCCACGAAGAUGCCUCGUGGUUGGGGUGGUGACAACCCCCUCCUUGUAUUUGUGUCAUACGACGGCAAGCGGAUAACAGGUACCGAUGUUCAUGAAUACGAUAGUGCUCUUGGGGUGAUAGCAAUAAAUGGACUACGUCUUCCCCUUGACUAUCCGACAUUUCAACAGAUCCCAAAGACAACUAAAAAGGAGAUCUGGGCUGAGGUACAGUCUAGGUGAAACAUUACUAUUUGAUGGGGUCAAUUAUCUUUAGAAAAACUACGCGCUACCUGAUUCUGCUGAGAAGGUAGUGCUCUCUGACCUUAAAGACGUCUGGCGCCACUAGAAAUACAAUGUGAAGGCCUCACACUUCACUCCAAUAGAGAAUGAUGAAGAGGCCUUUGAAAAUAGCUCCGAAAGAGCGAGUUGUUGCAGAUCAGUAGCCGUUGCUAGUGCACUAUUAGAAAGACAAAAAAGUUACAGAUAUUGCUAGCAGUAAUGCGGCAAAUGUAGUGAAAAGAAGUUUUCCACAUAGAACGGGCAGAAAAUCAUUUGACGUCUUCGCUGAGGAGAUAAAGGCCAAUGGCAAACAACCCGAUAGCUUGGAAAUUUGAAUGGCAUCUCGCACCAAGGGACAACAGAAAUAUCUCAAUUCUGAACUCAACAAAAUCCUAACAGUUCAGAGAAACGUGUGGUCAGUGAAUGAGUGAUGCUAAGCUUCCCUACACCAGGUUCUGGCGUAGAUUGGAACACGUGUUUGUUUGAAAUUAUGUUGACGAUCGUAAGAAAUGUUUUGGCGUAGAUUGGAACACGUGUUCGUUUGCUCUCCCGAGGAUAGGAGAAACGUGUGGUCAGCGAAUGAGUGAUGCUAAGCUUCCCUAUACCAGUUGGUUUGCCGCCCUUGAUUGCCUCCUCCUUGAUUCUGCAUUCAAUGAGCUAGGUUAUUCGUAGUUGUGUUAGUUAGUUGCCUAUAAGAUCGUCUUGUUGUAUGAUAUGGGAUUGUUGGCGUAAGCAGGUUGAAUUUUGCUAUUUUGUUAUGUUGGCAUACGGCUUGGUGUUUUAUUUGGGAUGCUUUAAAGCACUAUUGAUGCCUAAUAUUCUAUUUUUCUCAGAACUAUGAACAUUGUUGGAUUGAUGUUGUUGUGUAGUAUGAACAUGGAUU